GCCAAGGCCACUGCAGAGACGCCGCACGCACGUCAGACGCCGCAUAAGAAGCUCUCACCAACAAGCAAGCAGCCGCCGACGAGGAGCAAGCGUACGCGCACAUCUUCGCCUCGUCGUCGUCCACGAGAAAGUCUCCACCGUCGCUGAACAAGCAAACCGGUCUACACCAACGUGCAGAGCGCCACGAUCUCGUCGAAUCGCAUCUACUCCAACAGCUCAUCCUCGACGCCAUGUUGAGCUUCCCGGCAGCUGCUACUCUCGCGAUGGUGUCCUCGGAAGGAAACGGUUACGGCCCGUACGGCUGAUUUCCCCGAGGUGACACGGCUACGUUCAAUCUACGUAGCGACGGUGUUCUCGGAAGGAAACGGCUACGGCUCGUACAACCGAUUUCCCCAAGAUAACAUGGCUAUAUUCAGAUUGCAUAGCGACAGUGUCCUUGGAAGGAAACGGCUAUGCCUCGUAUAACCGAUUUCCCCGAGGUGACACAGCUAUAUUCAGAUUGCAUAGUGACGAUAUCUUUGGAAGGAAACGGCUAUGACUCCUAUGACCGCUUUCCCCGAGGUGACACGGCUAUAUUCAGAUUGUACAGUGACGGUGUCCUUGGAAGGAAAUGGCUACGGCUCGUAUGGCCGCUUUUCCCGAGGUGAAACGGCUAUAUUCAGAUUGCAUAGCGACGGUGUUCUCGGAAGGAAAUGGCUACGGCUCCUACGACCGAUUUCACCAGGAUAGCACGGUUAUAUUCAGAUUAAACGGCUACGUCUUGCAUGACCGAUUUCCCAAAAUGACACGGUUAUAAUUAUUCCAUGGGUGGCAAGACUAUCUUAGGCUCUAAGCUAUUUUCUCGUUGAUAAAGAAUGAUGGAAGAUUGCUAAUUGUACGGCUUGUCCUGUUGCAUGGCAGCGAGAGAAGCAAAGAAUAAUCUUGCAAGCAUAUCGCUACUGGAUUGAAAGUACUAGCUUUGAUUA